CUGCUCGUAGCUCAGCUGGAUUAGAGCAACAGCCUUCUAAGCUGUGGGUCGUAGGUUCGAGUCCUACCGAGCAGGCCA
rnacentral:tRNA from 2 species